rnacentral:rRNA from 1 species
GGCGCACGGGUGAGUAACGCGUGGGUAACCUACCCUGGAAUCUGGGAUAACACUGCGAAAGCGGUGCUAAUACCGGGUACGAUCCUCGAGCGGGAGUUCGGGGAUGAGAGCCGGCCUCUUGAAAAAGCUGGUGUUCCGGGAUGGGCUCGCGUCCUAUCAGCUAGUUGGUGGGGUAAUGGCCUACCAAGGCGGCGACGGGUAGCUGGUCUGAGAGGAUGAUCAGCCACACUGGCACUGGAACACGGGCCAGACUCCUACGGGAGGCAGCAGUGAGGAAUUUUGCGCAAUGGGGGAAACCCUGACGCAGCAACGCCGCGUGGGUGAAGAAGGCCUUCGGGUCGUAAAGCCCUGUCAGGUGGGAAGAACGGUCCUUGGGCGAACAGUCCGGGGAUUUGACGGUACCAUCAGAGGAAGCACCGGCUAACUCCGUGCCAGCAGCCGCGGUAAUACGGAGGGUGCGAGCGUUGUUCGGAAUCAUUGGGCGUAAAGGGCGUGUAGGCGGCUGGGUAAGUCUGAUGUGAAAGCCCGGGGCUCAACCCUGGAAGUGCAUUGGAGACUGCUCG